CUCCAUUGAGGAGAUGUGGACACAGAGAGCCCAGGUCACCUCCAUCCACUGGAGCAGCAAGACCAUGGACGCACUCCAGAGAAGGAACAAGCCGGUCUGGCAGACUGGCCUGUUUACAGGGAGAACCUGGCCAGGGCCUCAGGUGGUUUCAGCACUCGCCCUCCCUCCAUCUGUCUGACUAAUGUUCCCAUCUGCCAGCCUCAGGUGAGAGAUGGCAGCGUCUUCCGCUGUUGCCCCAACGAGCGGCUUGUUUGCGGUGUAACUGCCUGAUGGUAUCUCGCACAGUGCUUUGGCUGGAGAGGGCCUCUUCCUGGCCCCACGUCCCUCCUAUGGUAAGAGAAGAUGAGGGACAAUGUCAUCAACAGAACCUGUUGCCCAGCCUGGCUUAUCCUCUAACACCAGCUGUGUGAACCACCACCACCAACCCACCAUUUCACCAUGCCUCAGUUUCCUAACCUGUAAAAUGGGAUAAUAGUAUGAAGAGUCCUGUGACAUUAAAUGAGAUCAUGUAUGCCAGUGUGCUGGGACACAGAGCCCGAUGUCUUCUUCCUCUUCCUGCAUCUGUCCCCUCAAUCCUGUAUUCCCCAAGGACUGUCUCCUGGGCAGCAACCAGGUACAUUGGAUCAGAAUACUAACAAAGGCCUAAGAAACAAAGGAGGGAGAAGAACGAGGCCUCUCAGGAUGCUCUGAGCUGAUGGGAGAGAGACAUUUGUGUGUGUGUGUGUGUGUGUGUGUGUGUGUGUGUGUGUACAGGGAGCAUUGCUCAAGCAGGAGAGAGGAGUCCAGAUGUGUGUAUCCAGGCUAGACGGUGACUACUGUAAUGUCUUCUUAGCAGGCAGGAGCAACCAACAAAUUCAUUAAUUUCCUGUUUACACAUCUAUUGUCAAAGCUAAUAAUUUGAUUUAACGAGGCUGAUUACCUUCAUUAAAAACUAUUAGUUCCCAUAAGCAAACGUUCUUGUGUUUGCAUUUUCAUAAUUAUGUUGGCAUUUCACAAUGUGCUUUGCAAGGGAGGCCUGUGCUCAAACUCAGCCUCAUCCACCCAGCUCGGGGCUCUCUCUGGGCUGACCUCCUUAGCCCUGGCGCUUUGCUAGGCGCUGUGGGGCAGUGGGAAACAAGACAGGCCUCAUUGUCCUUUGC